CAGCAAUCAGAAUCUGCGAUCGUGCAGCACUGUGGGUCCCGUAACUAAAACUAGGAAAAUCCCAGGAAGUCUGAGGGGAUAAGGUGGCUGACGGAGCCGGUAGGCCUGGGCAUUGUGUCAGCUGCAGACACCGGACAGCGCUGCGCUCAGACGGUUAACCACAGAGGCUCCAGAGAGACUGCGCAAACUCCUGGAGCUGGCCAAGCUGCCCUGGUAAGAAGAGAAGUCAACAUGCCUUCAAAACCACCAAGUAGAAAAGAGCGAAGGAAGUGGUUCACAUCUCUGACAGGGGAGCGCCGACAGGAAGUGACCUGCCAUAUGUGCCACAGAGAACAUCUGCAUCCCUCCAGAUGGGGACUUAGCAUCAUGCACCUUCUUCUCAUUCACUUCUAUUCAUCUCCUCAUUUCCCGGAGCAGUCUCAUAUGACGUCCACAGCCCCUCCCUGCGCAUCAUUCCGUCUCUCCGUUCUCUCUCCAGCUGCUCCUUUCUCUGCUGCUAAACACACAUAUGGUUCACACACACACACACACACACACACACACACACACGUGGAUCACGUCAAGCUUUUAGCCAAG
ensembl:lncRNA